rnacentral:rRNA from 1 species
ACAUGCAAGUCGAACGAAGCAUACGGACCGGAGAUUCGUCGAAGGGCCGUAUGACUUAGUGCGGACGGUGAGUAAUGUAUGAGCAACCUGCCUUUCAGAGGGGGACAACAGUUGGAAACGACUGCUAAUACCGCGUAACGUAUCGUGAGGGCAUCCUCGUGAUACCAAAGGAGCAAUCCGCUGAAAGAUGGGCUCAUAUCUGAUUAGCUUGUUGGCGGGUAACGGCCCACCAAGCGACGAUCAGUAGCCGGACUGAGAGGUUGAACGGCCACAUUGGGACUGAGAUACGGCCCAGACUCCUACGGGAGGCAGCAGUGGGGAAUAUUGGGCAAUGGGCGAAAGCCCUGACCCAGCAACGCCGCGUGAAGGAAGAAGGUCUUCGGAUUGUAAACUUCUUUUAUGAGGGACGAAGGUACGUGACGGUACCUCACGAAUAAGCCACGGCUAACUACGUGCCAGCCGCCGC